GCAAGUCGAGCGGUAGAGAGGUGCUUGCACCUCUUGAGAGCGGCGGACGGGUGAGUAAAGCCUAGGAAUCUGCCUGGUAGUGGGGGAUAACGCUCGGAAACGGACGCUAAUACCGCAUACGUCCUACGGGAGAAAGCAGGGGACCUUCGGGCCUUGCGCUAUCAGAUGAGCCUAGGUCGGAUUAGCUAGUUGGUGAGGUAAUGGCUCACCAAGGCGACGAUCCGUAACUGGUCUGAGAGGAUGAUCAGUCACACUGGAACUGAGACACGGUCCAGACUCCUACGGGAGGCAGCAGUGGGGAAUAUUGGACAAUGGGCGAAAGCCUGAUCCAGCCAUGCCGCGUGUGUGAAGAAGGUCUUCGGAUUGUAAAGCACUUUAAGUUGGGAGGAAGGGCAUUAACCUAAUACGUUAGUGUUUUGACGUUACCGACAGAAUAAGCACCGGCUAACUCUGUGCCAGCAGCCGCGGUAAUACAGAGGGUGCAAGCGUUAAUCGGAAUUACUGGGCGUAAAGCGCGCGUAGGUGGUUCGUUAAGUUGGAUGUGAAAUCCCCGGGCUCAACCUGGGAACUGCAUUCAAAACUGUCGAGCUAGAGUAUGGUAGAGGGUGGUGGAAUUUCCUGUGUAGCGGUGAAAUGCGUAGAUAUAGGAAGGAACACCAGUGGCGAAGGCGACCACCUGGACUGAUACUGACACUGAGGUGCGAAAGCGUGGGGAG
rnacentral:rRNA from 1 species